UACGUAGGUGGCAAGCGUUGUCCGGAUUUAUUGGGUUUAAAGGGUGCGUAGGCGGCGCGGCAAGUCGGGUGUGAAAUCUUGGAGCUUAACUCCGAAACUGCAUUCGAUACUGCCGUGCUUGAGGACUGGAGAGGAGACUGGAAUUUACGGUGUAGCGGUGAAAUGCGUAGAUAUCGUAAGGAAGACCAGUGGCGAAGGCGGGUCUCUGGACAGUUCCUGACGCUGAGGCACGAAGGCCAGGGGAGCAAACGGG
rnacentral:rRNA from 1 species